rnacentral:rRNA from 1 species
UAGGGAAUCUUCGGCAAUGGGGGCAACCCUGACCGAGCAACGCCGCGUGAGUGAAGAAGAUUUUCGGAUCGUAAAGCUCUGUUGUAAGAGAAGAACGUGUGUGAGAGUGGAAAGUUCACACAGUGACGGUAACUUACCAGAAAGGGACGGCUAACUACGUGCCA